rnacentral:rRNA from 1 species
AUAUGGCUCAGGACGAACGCUGGCGGCACGCUUAACACAUGCAAGUCGAACGGAGUAUCAUGGAGCUUGCUUCAAGAUACUUAGUGGCGGACGGGUGAGUAACACGUGAGCAACCUGCCUUGAGAGUGGAAUAGCUUCUGGAAACGGAUGGUAAUACCGCAUGAUGUGUUUUACCGCAUGAUAGAACAACCAAAGAUUUAUCGCUCAAAGAUGGGCUCGCGUCUGAUUAGAUAGUUGGUGAGGUAACGGCUCACCAAGUCGACGAUCAGUAGCCGGACUGAGAGGUUGAACGGCCACAUUGGGACUGAGACACGGCCCAGACUCCUACGGGAGGCAGCAGUGGGGGAUAUUGCACAAUGGGCGCAAGCCUGAUGCAGCCAACGCCGCGUGCAGGAAGACGGUCUUCGGAUUGUAAACUGUUGUCCUCUGUGACGAUAAUGACGGUAGCAGAGGAGGAAGCCACGGCUAACUACGUGCCAGCCGCCGC